UACGUAGGGUGCAAGCGUUGUCCGGAAUUAUUGGGCGUAAAGAGCGUGUAGGCGGUCCGGUAAGUCCGCUGUGAAAGUCCAGGGCUCAACUCUGGAAUGCCGGUGGAUACUGCCGGGCUAGAGUCCGGAAGAGGCGAGUGGAAUUCCUGGUGUAGCGGUGAAAUGCGCAGAUAUCAGGAGGAACACCGAUGGCGAAGGCAGCUCGCUGGGACGGUACUGACGCUGAGACGCGAAAGCGUGGGGAGCAAACAGG
rnacentral:rRNA from 1 species